UCUCGUUAGAUCACCGAAGUCAAGCAUCAUUGUGCGCGGUCAGUACUUGGGUGGGUGACCACCUGGGAACACUGCGUGCCGUU